rnacentral:rRNA from 1 species
UACGUAGGUGGCAAGCGUUAUCCGGAUUUACUGGGUGUAAAGGGAGCGUAGGUGGCAGGGCAAGUCAGAUGUGAAAACCUGGGGCUCAACCCCGGGAGUGCAUUUGAAACUGUCCAGCUGGAGUGCAGGAGAGGUAAGCGGAAUUCCUAGUGUAGCGGUGAAAUGCAUAGAUAUUAGGAGGAACACCAGUGGCGAAGGCGGCCUGCUGGACAAUAACUGACGCUGAGGCGCGAAAGCGUGGGGAGCAAACAGG